rnacentral:rRNA from 1 species
CUUUACUAUAGCCUGGAAUUGUGUUCGGGCUUUACUUGCGCAGUAUAGGUGGGAGGCGUUGAGUUUAUUCUUGCGGGAAUUUAGGAGCCAUCAGUGAGAUACCACUCUGGUAAUGUUAGAUUUCUAACUUUGUAUCAUAAUCUGGUCAAAGGACAGUUUCAGGCGGGCAGUUUGACUGGGGCGGUCGCCUCCUAAAUGGUAACGGAGGCGUACAAAGGUUUCCUCUGAACGUGUAGAAAUCGUAUCUAGAGUAUAAAGGCAUAAGGAAGCUUGACUGUGAGACUUACAAGUCGAGCAGGGACGAAAGUCGGUCUUAGUGAUCUGACGGUGCUGAGUGGAAAGGCCGUCACUCAACGGAUAAAAGUUA